rnacentral:rRNA from 1 species
CGUGAAGAGGGAAGAGCCCAGCGCCGAAUCCCCGGCCGCCCGGCGGUUGCGGGAGAUGUGUGGUACGGGAGACAGGACCACUCCGGCGUCUCUCGGGGGCCCGAGUCCUUCUGAUCGAGGCCCAGCCCGCAGACAGUGUUAGGCAGAUAGCGGCCCCCGGUGCGGCAGGACCCGGUCUCCCCCGGAGUGGGGUUGUUUGGGAAUGCAGCACAAAGCGGGUGGUAAAUUCCAUCUAAGGCUAAAUACCGGCACAAGACCGAUAGCGGACAAGUACCGUAAGGGAAAGUUGAAAAGAACUUCAAAGAGAGAGUUCAAGAGGGCGUGAAACCGUUAAGAAAGGGC